CUUUGUAGUUUGCUGCUGUGGAUUCUUUCCAUCGGCUCCGAGUUCAUCUCCAAUUAAAGAAGCAAAUCCAUGACAUGACAUACCUGGAUUUCAUGCUUAGAACUUUGAAUUGGAAAAAGUGUUCUUUAUUUUCCACAUGAAUUUAAAGGAAGAUCAUUUCAAGGUUGCUCUGUGGACUCACUCAUUUAGCAAGUGUUUGCAGAGUGCCUGUUGUCUGCUAGGCACCAGAUGAAGACGAGCAGGGUUUCUGUCAUCAUGGAGCUUACUGCAACUAGAAGAGGAAAUACCAGGAGGCAAUAACAUGUGGAGAUUAAAAGUAAAGGCCUUAGACCCAGAUGGACCUGUGUUUGUGAUCCAGUCACAUCCCGUUCUCAUUGUAUGGCCUUGGGAAAAUUGCUUUAGAAUCCAUGGAAUGAAGCAUCCAGCCCUGUGUUGGGCCAAAUAUUCUAGUCCAGGAAGUAGCAAACUAUGGCUGUGGGACAAAUCUGGCCAGCCACCUGGUUUUGUAAAUAAAGUUUUAUU